rnacentral:rRNA from 1 species
UCCCGUUGAUCCUGCGGGAGGCUGCUGCUAUUAGGAUUCGAUUUAGCCAUGCAAGUCAAGGGGGCGUAAGCCACCGGCAGACUGCUCAGUAACACGUUGGUAAUCUACCCUUAGGUUUGGAAUAGCCUCGGUAAACUGAGGAUAACACCGAAUAGGAGAUUUGGCCUGGAAAGGCAUUUCUCUUAAAAGCAAUGCCUAAGGAUGAGCCAGCGGUGGAUUAGGCUGUUGGUGAGGUAAUGGCUCACCAAACCGAAGAUCCGUAGGGGCCUUGAGAGAGGUAGCCCCGAGAGGGACACUGAGAUACUGGUCCCAGCCCUACGGGGUGCAGCAGGCGCGAAACCUUUACAAUGCACGAAAGUGUGAUAAGGGAAUCCUAAGUGCUUAUACUAUGUAUAGGCUUUUGCCAAGAGUAAAAAUCUUGGCGAAUAAGUGGUGGGCAAGACCGGUGCCAGCAGCCGCGGUAAUACCGGCGCCACGAGUAGGAAUCAUGUUUAUUGGGCCUAAAGCGUCCGUAGCCGGUUCGGCAAAUCUCUUGUGAAAUUAUUCGGCUUAACCGAAUAGCGUGCAGGAAACACUACUGAACUAGGGACCGGGAGGAGUCAGAGGUAUGGGAGGGGGAGCGGUAAAAUGCAAUAAUCCUUUCUAGACCACCAGUGGCGAAGGCGUCUGACUAGAACGGAUCCGACGGUGAGGGACGAAAGCUAGGGGAGCGAUCCGGAUUAGAUACCCGAGUAGUCCUAGCUGUAAACGCUGCGAGCAAGGUAUUGCAUAAUCCACGAGAUUAUGCGGUAUCGAAGAGAAGUCGAUAAGCUCGCCGCCUGGGAAGUACGGUCGCAAGACUGAAACUUAAAGGAAUUGGCGGGGGAGCACUACAAGGGGUGCGGCGUGCGGUUUAAUCUAAUUCCACGCAGAGAAUCUCACCAUGGGCGACGGCACAAUGAUAGUCAAGCUAAAGACUUUACUUGAGGAGCCGAGAGGUGGUGCAUGGCCGCCGUCAGCUCGUGCCGUAAGGUGUCCUGUUAAGUCAGGCAACGAGCGAGACCUGUACCUAUAAUUGCCAGCGGCUUCAUCGAAGGACCGGGCACAUUAUAGGGACUGCCUUCGAAAGGAGGAGGAAGGUGCAGGCAACGGUAGGUCUGUAUGCCCCGAAUCUCAUGGGCUACACGCGCGCAACAAUGGUAAGGACAAAAGGAUGCAACUCCGAAAGGAGAAGCCAAACCUCGAAACCUUACCCUAGUACAGAUCGAGGGUUGUAACUCACCCUCGUGACGAUGGAAUCCCUAGUAAUCGGAUUUUAUUAUAGUCCGGUGAAUAUGUCCCUGCUCCUUGCACACACCGCCCGUCAAACCACUCGAGCAGGGUUUAGGUGAGCUGCACUUUUUUUGAGUUCAGCGAAUCUAAGCUCAGUGAGAUGGGUUAAGUCGUCACAAGGUA